rnacentral:rRNA from 1 species
GAUGAACGCUGGCGGCGUGCCUAACACAUGCAAGUCGAGCGAUUCUCUUCGGAGAAGAGCGGCGGACGGGUGAGUAACGCGUGGGUAACCUGCCCUGUACACACGGAUAACAUACCGAAAGGUAUGCUAAUACGAGAUAAUAUACUUUUAUCGCAUGGUAGAAGUAUCAAAGCUUUUGCGGUACAGGAUGGACCCGCGUCUGAUUAGCUAGUUGGUAAGGUAACGGCUUACCAAGGCGACGAUCAGUAGCCGACCUGAGAGGGUGAUCGGCCACAUUGGAACUGAGACACGGUCCAAACUCCUACGGGAGGCAGCAGUGGGGAAUAUUGCACAAUGGGCGAAAGCCUGAUGCAGCAACGCCGCGUGAGCGAUGAAGGCCUUCGGUCGUAAAGCUCUGUCUCAAGGAAGAUAAUGACGGUACUUGAGGAGGAAGCCCCGGCGUAACUAACGUGCCAGCAGCCGCGGUAAAAGUAGUGUGUA